GGGCGAGUGGCGGAAUUGGUAGACGCUCAACUCUUAAAAAGUUGUGUCCGUAAGGACGUGAGGGUUCGAUUCCCUCCCCGCCCA
rnacentral:tRNA from 1 species